CCGCCUACGGGAGGCAGCAGUGGGGAAUAUUGGGCAAUGGGCGCAAGCCUGACCCAGCAACGCCGCGUGAAGGAAGAAGGCUUUCGGGUUGUAAACUUCUUUUAUCAGGGACGAAGCAAGUGACGGUACCUGAUGAAUAAGCCACGGCUAACUACGUGCCAGCAGCCGCGGUAAUACGUAGGUGGCGAGCGUUAUCCGGAUUUACUGGGUGUAAAGGGCGUGUAGGCGGGAAUGCAAGUCCGAUGUGAAAACUAUUGGCUCAACCCAUAGCCUGCAUUUGAAACUGUAUUUCUUGAGUGCUGGAG
rnacentral:rRNA from 1 species